UCGAUCCUGCCGGAGGUUACUGCUAUCGGUGUUCGCCUAAGCCAUGCGAGUCAUAUGUAGCAAUACAUGGCGUACUGCUCAGUAACACGUGGAUAACCUGCCUUUGGGUCCGGCAUAACCCCGGGAAACUGGGGAUAAUUCCGGAUACCGCAUAUGUGCUGGAAUGCUUUAUGCGUGAAAUGGAUUCGUCUGCCCAAGGAUGGGUCUGCGGCCUAUCAGGUAGUAGUAGGUGUAAUGGACCUACUAGCCGACAACGGGUACGGGUUGUGAGAGCAAGAGCCCGGAGAUGGAUUCUGAGACAUGAAUCCAGGCCCUACGGGGCGCAGCAGGCGCGAAAACUUUACAAUGCGGGAAACCGUGAUAAGGGGACACCGAGUGCCAGCAUCAUAUGCUGGCUGUCCGGGUGUGUAAAAUACACCUGUUAGCAAGGGCCGGGCAAGACCGGUGCCAGCCGCCGCGGUAACACCGGCGGCCCGAGUGGUGAUCGUGAUUAUUGGGUCUAAAGGGUCCGUAGCCGGUUUGGUCAGUCCUCAGGGAAAUCUGAUAGCUCAACUAUUAGGCUGUCUGGGGAUACUGCCAGGCUUGGAACCGGGAGAGGUAAGAGGUACUACAGGGGUAGGAGUGAAAUCUUGUAAUCCCUGUGAGACCACCUGUGGCGAAGGCGUCUUACCAGAACGGGUUCGACGGUGAGGGACGAAAGCUGGGGGCACGAACCGGAUUAGAUACCCGGGUAGUCCCAGCCGUAAACGAUGCUCGCUAGGUGUCAGGCAUGGCGCGACCGUGUCUGGUGCCGCAGGGAAGCCGUGAAGCGAGCCACCUGGGAAGUACGGCCGCAAGGCUGAAACUUAAAGGAAUUGGCGGGGGAGCACCACAAC
rnacentral:rRNA from 1 species